rnacentral:tRNA from 1 species
GGCCUCGUAGCUCAGGUGGUAGAACAUAUGCGGUACUAAAGCAAGGGUGGCAACUUUGUGUGUUCGAAUCCCACCGGGGCUA